CAGAAGAUCAUAAUCAUCACAUCGCUUGUAAUAGUUGUGUUGCUCUUGACAAUCUUGAUGAUACAUUGUGCCACAAGACUAAACAACACAAGGGAAAAACAGAAGAUCCGUAGUGCACCCAGAACACCUGCAAAGGAGACAGGCUUACACCAAGACCUAGGCAAGAAGGCCUCUGUGAGCCUGCACACACCCACAGACCAGCACGUUGUUUAUCAAAAUGAGGAGCAGACACCAGGCAGCUCACUUCACAAAAGGCAGAAGAGAAAUCCAAGAAAGCAAAAGAAUCACAGGGGCUUGUUUCCAGAGGAAGCUGAAAACCUGAACAGCAACUUCCAAACUGCAUUUGAGAGUGGAUCUGCUGGGUUAUCCAUGAAGGAGCUUGGCUGCUCACCCAUGAAUGAGGACAGUGAGGCAAAGGCAGGUGAUGGAGUCCAAGGAACACCCCACCACACCUGCUCCCCAGCCCAGCAGAUGAAGGAGAGACAUCAGCCAUCUCCACAAAGAGGAGCACAGGGGCCCAAGGGCAGAUGGGGGAUCCCGACUAAGGACUCAGAGGAAGGAGCAGCUUGCCCAAGCCUCUCCCAGUGAUGUCUCAGAAGAUUCUAAGCCAUGGGGUCUGUGUGGGAAACCCAUCUAGAUGAGUCCAUCAGUAGAACAUCUUUUGAACUGAGGGGCAUCGCUGCCUAAAAUAAAAGGGUACGAACACAUCAUGCCAUGCAAAAGAAGUGCACUUUGGGAUAGUACUGGACUGUUAUGCAAUGCUUUGGGAGGAGACAAAGGUGAGAAAGGGGAGGAAUCAAAGGGAUCUGGGAAUAAAAAGAGAGGGAAAAUGGAUGGAUAAAGGAAUAAAAGGAUAUAUAGGAGGCUGGUCAGUACAUUUGUCUGGGCAUGCCCAGCACCUGUUCACCAUGGUGUGUCCCAGCUCCCAGAUAAAUUCCAUUUCUGACUCUUUUCCCGGGUGAGGGAUGCCCUAGCUGGUGUGCAUACGUGUACGGGGGACUGGUGCCAGCAGCUGGGCCAGAACCACAGGCCACAUGUGCCUGGGUGCUGGCAACUGGGGAGACCUGAGUGAGGGAAGCCAAGUGCCAGCCACCAGCCUGGACCAGGGUCAGAGCCUCUGUCCCUGCUGCAGCACCUGAAGCAGGCAUGUGUGGAAAUGCCUGUGUGCAACAGCAAGAAUCAAGCCAGGCAAGCUAGUGAGUAGGUGACAUGUCCCAGGAUGCUCUUUGAUGUCUCACAAGAAAUCAGGCAGAAGGAUCUAUGCUGUGAACGUGGCAAGACCCACAGAACUAUAUCAAGACCGGUAUUUGAAAAAAAAAAAAGUUACAUUUUUAAGGGCUUGAGCUGGAAAAGUUCCCCCCAGCUCUCUGUGUUGUUAUAUGAUGUGUGUUAGAGAUGUGCUUCCAGUGUAUUUUUGUAAAGGCCCCCCAAAGAAGCUUGUGUUGAGUGCAGCUUCAGCACAGAGCACUGUCUUUGGUAGCCACAGAGUACCCUCUAGUGGGAGAGAUCACCAGUGGAAGGGAAAGAGCCUCCAGUGAGUCUUUCAUUAAAACAGUAACUCACUAGUACUGUGUUUUCUAUCUUUUGACUUUCAAAUACCCUUUGGGUAUCCAACAACCUCAUCCCAGCUAUCAAGAAGUUACAACAAUCGUAUCCAAAGUUGUUCCAUGAUUAAAUGAUUCUAUGAGCACUUUCCUGCAGUAGAGACUGACUGUGGUUGCUGAUUGAAAUGGACUGACAGAAAGA